CUACGGGGUGCUGCAGUGAGGAAUAUUGCACAAUGGGGGGAACCCUGAUGCAGCAACGCCGCGUGGAGGAUGACGCAUUUCGGUGUGUAAACUCCUUUUAUAUGUCAAGAAAAUGACGGUAGCAUAUGAAUAAGCACCGGCUAACUCCGUGCCAGCAGCCGCGGUAAUACGGGGGGUGCAAGCGUUACUCGGAAUCACUGGGCGUAAAGGACGCGUAGGCGGGUUGGAAAGUCAGGUGUGAAAUCCUACAGCUUAACUGUAGAACUGCACUUGAAACUUCUAAUCUAGAGUAUGGGAGGGGGAGAUGGAAUUAGGGGUGUAGGGGUAAAAUCCGUAGAUAUCACUAGGAAUACCUAAAGCGAAGGCGAUCUCCUGGAACAUUACUGACGCUAAGGCGUGAAAGCGUGGGGAGCAAACAGGAUUAGAUACCCCUGUAGUC
rnacentral:rRNA from 1 species